rnacentral:lncRNA from 1 species
AAUAUCAUUAAGACGAAGUAUUUAUAAGCAUUUCCAGGAACCAAGGAAUGAAGCACCAAAACCAACAGAGAUUCAACAAACUUGUUUUCCCCUAUAACACCUUGAAAAACCAAGACCAUGAACCUGAGCUGCUUCGGCAUGGCCUGCUCCCAAGUCUUUUGCUGUAGAGCCUCGCUUCACAAGUUCUGAAAACUCGUGCUUAUCUAAACGACUGCCUUGAGGUCAGCUAGAACGCUUAGGAGCCAAGCCAAGAACCUCCCCCAUGGCCUGUUCCUCUUCUUCCUUGAUCCUUCAUCUCCCUUCUUUUGCAGCUUCCAUAUCUUGAUUCUGAGAUUUUUUAUCCCUGGUGUAC